AAAAGCGCCCCCUUGUGGACAAUUAUUGAAUAUGAGCAUUAAUUAAUCAAAGGACGAACUGUCUGGAGGUGGCAGGUUGUAGAAUCCCGACCAACGUGAAUUCAUCAGAUUCGGCAAAUGAACCAUAUUUGCUCUCAUCUGAUCCGGUGAUGUCCUUCUAGAAGGUGAAGCGCCUGUCAUUGGAAUGGCCCACCUUGUCCAGGCUGGGGUUGCAGGCGAACUG